AUGGCGGCGGAGCACGACGGGACGGCCGACGGCAGGAGGAAGAAGACGGUCCGGUCGGAGGUCCUCGGCGUCUACCGGCUGCAGCGCGGCAUGUACCGGGCGCGGAUCUGGGACCCAUCGCGGCGCGCCAUGAAGAACCUCGGCGCCUUCGCCACCGCCCAGGAGGCCGCCAGGGCCUACGACGCCGCCGCCGUCGGGCUGCACGGCGCGGCCACGGCGCUCACCUACUUCCGCCAGCACACGGCUGCCGACGGCGACGGCGACGCGCCGCUCCUGCACGUCGACACGGACGCCAAGGCCGAUGCCGGGGACGCGCCGCUCCGGCACGUCUCCUGCGUGGGCGGCGAUGUCGGGGCCGAUGGCGACGGCGACGCGCCGCUCCGGCACUUCUCCUGCGUGGGCGAGGAUGUCGGGGCCGUGGAGUCGUGCCCAGGCCAUGAUGCGGCGGAGAGCGCCAAGGAGAGGAAGGCGCCGCUCAGGCCGGUCGCCCGGACCGUGUUCCGCCGCGUGCGCAGGAGGCCGAGCGGCAAGUGUGUGGCGAAGAUCAGGUGCCCAAAGGGGGGAGCUCGGAGGUACCUCGGCGGCUUCAGCACCGCCGAGGAGGCCGCCAGAGCCUACGCCGCGUCGGCGGUCAAGCUGCGCGGCGCGAUCGGCCUGAAGAAGGCGCGCGCGGCGGGGGAGGUCGGCUUCAAAGGUCAGGCCGGAAGGAAGGCGGCGGCGGCCGCUAAGUCGAGGUCGAGGUCGAGCUCGAGCUCUCUGCCGGUGUUCCGCGGCGUGCGCCAGACAGGGGGCGGCAAGAAGUACUCUGCGCGCAUCUGGGACCCGGCGCGGCGAGCGAAGCUGUUUCUCGGCGCCUUCGACACGGCCGAGGAGGCCGCCGGAGCGUACGACGCGGAGGCCGUCAGGCUGCGCGGCGCCAAGGCCAAAACCAACCUGAAGCAGCAGUCCAUGGCGAGGAAGAAGGCGGCGGCAAGGACGGACACCGGGACCGGGACCAAGUUCCGCGGCGUGCACCGGAAGCCCAGCGGCAAGUACGCGGCGCAGAUCAGGCACGCCGGUGAGAAUUCUCGGUGGCUCGGCCUCUUCGGCACCGCCGAGGACGCCGCCAGAGCGUACGACGCCGCGGCCGUCAAGCUGCAUGGCGUGAAGGCCAUCACCAACUUCAAGCAACCACCCAUGGCCGCCGCCGCAGCCGCUGUUGACGACGGCGAGGAGUCGCCCAUGGACCACAACGACGUCCCGGAGCUGCGUGGCGCGACGGCCAAAACAAACCUCAACCAGCCACCCGUGGUCGCCGGCUCUGGUGAUGACGGCGAGGAGUCGCGCAUGGACCUCGCCGACAGCGACUUCCCCGAGCAGCCGGCGCUCGACCUCUUCUCGGGCACCAUCACCGUAGACGCACAGCUCGACGAUGUGUUCGCCGACCUGCCACCGUUGGAUUUGCAGCAGGUGGACGAGCUCCUCAAGGACAUGGAAUUCGCCAAUAUGAUGGCUUGA
rnacentral:rRNA from 1 species